rnacentral:tRNA from 1 species
AUUUAUAUAGCUUAUAAUAGAGCGUAGUAUUGAAGAUACUGAGGUAAUUGGGUGUGAUUUAUAAAUA